rnacentral:rRNA from 1 species
GAUGAACGCUAGCUACAGGCUUAACACAUGCAAGUCGAGGGGAAACGACAUCGAAAGCUUGCUUUUGAUGGGCGUCGACCGGCGCACGGGUGAGUAACGCGUAUCCAACCUGCCCAUCACUUGGGAAUAACCUUGCGAAAGUAAGACUAAUACCCAAUGAUAUCCAUAGAAGACAUCUGAAAUGGAUUAAAGAUUUAUCGGUGAUGGAUGGGGAUGCGUCUGAUUAGCUUGUUGGCGGGGUAACGGCCCACCAAGGCGACGAUCAGUAGGGGUUCUGAGAGGAAGGUCCCCCCACAUUGGAACUGAGACACGGUCCAAAACUCCUACGGGAGGCAGCAGUGAGGAAUAUUGGUCAAUGGACGAGAGUCUGAACCAGCCAAGUAGCGUGCAGGACGACGGCCCUAUGGGUUGUAAACUGCUUUUAUAAGGGAAUAAAGUGAGCCUCGUGAGGCUUUUUGCAUGUACCUUAUGAAUAAGGACCGGCUAAUUCCGUGCCAGCAGCCG